rnacentral:rRNA from 1 species
GACGAACCGUGCGAACGUUGUUCGGAAUCACUGGGCUUACAGGGCGCGUAGGCGGGCUGUCAAGUCUGGGGUGAAAUCCCGCGGCUCAACCGUGGAACUGCCUUAGAUACUGACGGCCUCGAGGAAGGUAGGGGCAUGCGGAACUGUAGGUGGAGCGGUGAAAUGCGUUGAUAUCUACGGGAACUCCGGUGGCGAAAGCGGCGUGCUGGACCUUUUCUGACGCUGAGGCGCGAAAGCUAGGGGAGCAAACGGG